rnacentral:tRNA from 1 species
CCCGCACCUGGCGAAGUUGGUGGCGCUCGGCGGCUUUCGCCGCUGGGAGAAGGUGAUGCGCCGGUUCAUCACCGACGAGCGGCUCC